AAACAUCGCCUCCUGCAACACAAUCCUGUAUAGGAGGUCCAGCCUGCCCAGUGACUACAAGUUCAACGGCCGCGGUAUUUUAACCGUGCAAAGGUAGCGCAAUCACUUGUCUUUUAAAUAGAGACCUGUAUGAAUGGCUAAACGAGGGCUUAACUGUCUCCCUUUUCCAGUCAGUGAAAUUGAUCUGCCCGUGCAGAAGCGGGCAUAAAAAUACAAGACGAGAAGACCCUUUGGAGCUUAAGGUACAAAACUCAACCACGUCAAGCAACUCAAUAAAAAGCAAUAAACCUUAUGGAGCAUGAGAUUUUACCUUCGGUUGGGGCGACCACGGAGGAAAACAAAGCCUCCAAGUGGAUUGGGAAAAUCCUCCUAAAACCAAGAGAGACAUCUCUAAGCCACAGAACAUCUGACCAAACAUGAUCCGGCUAUACAAAGCCGAUCAACGAACCAAGUUACCCUAGGGAUAACAGCGCAAUCCCCUCCCAGAGUCCAUAUCGACGAGGGGGUUUACGACCUCGAUGUUGGAUCAGGACAUCCUAAUGGUGCAGCCGCUAUUAAGGGUUCGUUUGUUCAACGAUUAAAGUCCUACGUGA
rnacentral:rRNA from 1 species